rnacentral:rRNA from 1 species
AGCAUGCGGCGUGCUAUACAUGCAAGUCGUGCGGACCUUUUAAAAGCUUGCUUUUAAAAGGUUAGCGGCGGACGGGUGAGUAACACGUGGGCAACCUGCCUGUAAGAUCGGGAUAACGCCGGGAAACCGGGGCUAAUACCGGAUAGUUUUUUCCUCCGCAUGGAGGAAAAAGGAAAGACGGCUUCUGCUGUCACUUACAGAUGGGCCCGCGGCGCAUUAGCUAGUUGGUGGGGUAACGGCUCACCAAGGCAACGAUGCGUAGCCGACCUGAGAGGGUGAUCGGCCACAUUGGGACUGAGACACGGCCCAAACUCCUACGGGAGGCAGCAGUAGGGAAUCUUCCGCAAUGGACGAAAGUCUGACGGAGCAACGCCGCGUGAGUGAAGAAGGCCUUCGGGUCGUAAAACUCUGUUGCCGGGGAAGAACAAGUGCCGUUCGAACAGGGCGGCGCCUUGACGGUACCCGGCCAGAAAGCCACGGCUAACUACGUGCCAGCAGCCGCGGUAAUACGUAGGUGGCAAGCGUUGUCCGGAAUUAUUGGGCGUAAAGCGCGCGCAGGCGGCUUCUUAAGUCUGAUGUGAAAUCUUGCGGCUCAACCGCAAGCGGUCAUUGGAAACUGGGAGGCUUGAGUGCAGAAGAGGAGAGUGGAAUUCCACGUGUAGCGGUGAAAUGCGUAGAGAUGUGGAGGAACACCAGUGGCGAAGGCGGCUCUCUGGUCUGUAACUGACGCUGAGGCGCGAAAGCGUGGGGAGCAAACAGGAUUAGAUACCCUGGUAGUCCACGCCGUAAACGAUGAGUGCUAAGUGUUAGAGGGUUUCCGCCCUUUAGUGCUGCAGCUAACGCAUUAAGCACUCCGCCUGGGGAGUACGGCCGCAAGGCUGAAACUCAAAGGAAUUGACGGGGGCCCGCACAAGCGGUGGAGCAUGUGGUUUAAUUCGAAGCAACGCGAAGAACCUUACCAGGUCUUGACAUCCUCUGACCUCCCUGGAGACAGGGCCUUCUCCUUCGGGGACAGAGUGACAGUGUGCAUGGUUGUCGUCAGCUCGUGUC